rnacentral:rRNA from 1 species
AGAGUUUGAUCAUGGCUCAGAACGUACGCUGGCGGCACGCCUAAUACAUGCAAGUCGAACGAAGUAGCAAUACUUAGUGGCAGACGGGUGAGUAACAUGUAGGUAUCUGCCCUUUGGCCUGGAAUAACACGAGGAAACUUGUGCUAAUACCGGAUAAGUCUUUACGGAGAAAGCUUUAUGCACCAUUGGAUGAGCCUGCACUUGAUUAGUUUGUUGGUGGGGUAAUGGCCUACCAAGACAAUGAUCAAUAGCUGAUUUGAGAGGAUGAUCAGCCACAUUGGGACUGAGACACGGCCCAAACUCCUACGGGAGGCAGCAGUAGGGAAUCUUGCACAAUGGAGGAAACUCUGAUGCAGCGAUGCCGCGUGAGUGAAGAAGGCCUUUGGGUUGUAAAGCUCUUUCGUCGGGGAAGAAAAUGACUGUACCCGAAUAAGAAGGUCCGGCUAACUUCGUGCCAGCAGCCGCGGUAAUACGAAGGGACCUAGCGUAGUUCGGAAUUACUGGGCUUAAAGAGUUCGUAGGUGGUUAAAAAAGUUGGUGGUGAAAUCCCAGAGCUUAACUCUGGAACUGCCAUCAAAACUUUUUAGCUAGAGUAUGAUAGAGGAAAGCAGAAUUUCUAGUGUAGAGGUGAAAUUCGUAGAUAUUAGAAAGAAUACCGAUUGCGAAGGCAGCUUUCUGGAU